AUUGAACGCUGGCGGCAUGCUUUACACAUGCAAGUCGAACGGUAGACCCUUUCGGGGGUUGAGAGUGGCGAACGGGUGAGUAAUGCAUCGGAACGUGCCCAGUCGUGGGGGAUAACGCAGCGAAAGUUGUGCUAAUACCGCAUACGACCUGAGGGUGAAAGCGGGGGACCGGUAACGGCCUCGCGCGAUUGGAGCGGCCGAUGUCUGAUUAGCUAGUUGGUGGGGUAAAGGCUCACCAAGGCGACGAUCAGUAGCGGGUCUGAGAGGAUGAUCCGCCACACUGGGACUGAGACACGGCCCAGACUCCUACGGGAGGCAGCAGUGGGGAAUUUUGGACAAUGGGGGAAACCCGUAGAUCCAGCCACUGCCGCGUGCGGGAAGAAGGCCGUCGUUGUAACGUACGUUACGUACGUACGAAG
rnacentral:rRNA from 1 species